rnacentral:rRNA from 1 species
UGGGGAAUUUUGGACAAUGGGGGAAACCCUGAUCCAGCCAUCCCGCGUGUGCGAUGAAGGCCUUCGGGUUGUAAAGCACUUUUGGCAGGAAAGAAACGUCGCGGGUUAAUACCCCGCGAAACUGACGGUACCUGCAGAAUAAGCACCGGCUAACUACGUGCCAGCAGCCGCGGUAAUACGUAGGGUGCAAGCGUUAAUCGGAAUUACUGGGCGUAAAGCGUGCGCAGGCGGUUCGGAAAGAAAGAUGUGAAAUCCCAGAGCUUAACUUUGGAACUGCAUUUUUAACUACCGGGCUAGAGUGUGUCAGAGGGAGGUGGAAUUCCGCGUGUAGCAGUGAAAUGCGUAGAUAUGCGGAGGAACACCGAUGGCGAAGGCAGCCUCCUGGGAUAACACUGACGCUCAUGCACGAAAGCGUGGGGAGCAAACAGGAUUAGAUACCCUGGUAGUCCACGCCCUAAACGAUGCUCAACUAGCUGUUGGGGCCUUGCGGCCUUGGUAGCGCAGCUAACGCGUGAAGUUGACCGCCUGGGGAGUACGGUCGCAAGAUU